GUACCGUGAGGGAAAGAUGAAAAGAACUUUGAAAAGAGAGUUAAACAGUACGUGAAAUUGUUGAAAGGGAAACGAUUGAAGUCAGUCAUACCAACGGGAAAUCAACCUUUUGAGCUUGGUCUCGUGGGUUUUGAAGAGUUUCAAAGCCUUCGGAUUCGCGAGAUUGGGAUCUCUCGGUGUACUUUCUCGUACGGUUAGUCAACAUCGGUUUUGAAUGUCAUAAAAUGACUGGAGGAAUGUAGCUUCGAUCUCGUAUUGAAGUGUUAUAGCCUUUGGUAGAUGUGAUGUUUGAGACCGAGGAUUGCAACGGAUACCCUUCAGGGCUAUUCGUCUGAUCUCUGAUACGUUGCCCUGAUGUUGAAAGCUUGCUUAUGAUGUUAGGGUAUUACGGUCAAAAGGUUAGAACGAAUUACAUUCGUUAAGG
rnacentral:rRNA from 1 species